rnacentral:rRNA from 1 species
UGGCGGCGUGCCUAACACAUGCAAGUCGAACGAAGCAAUUAAGAUGAAGUUUUCGGAUGGAAUCUUGAUUGACUGAGUGGCGGACGGGUGAGUAACGCGUGGAUAACCUGCCUCACACUGGGGGAUAACAGUUAGAAAUGACUGCUAAUACCGCAUAAGCGCACAGUGCCGCAUGGCAGUGUGUGAAAAACUCCGGUGGUGUGAGAUGGAUCCGCGUCUGAUUAGCCAGUUGGCGGGGUAACGGCCCACCAAAGCGACGAUCAGUAGCCGACCUGAGAGGGUGACCGGCCACAUUGGGACUGAGACACGGCCCAAACUCCUACGGGAGGCAGCAGUGGGGAAUAUUGCACAAUGGGCGAAAGCCUGAUGCAGCGACGCCGCGUGAGUGAAGAAGUAUUUCGGUAUGUAAAGCUCUAUCAGCAGGGAAGAAAAUGACGGUACCUGACUAAGAAGCCCCGGCUAACUACGUGCCAGCAGCCGCGGUAAUACGUAGGGGGCAAGCGUUAUCCGGAUUUACUGGGUGUAAAGGGAGCGUAGACGGCGAAGCAAGUCUGAAGUGAAAACCCAGGGCUCAACCCUGGGACUGCUUUGGAAACUGUUUUGCUAGAGUGUCGGAGAGGUAAGUGGAAUUCCUAGUGUAGCGGUGAAAUGCGUAGAUAUUAGGAGGAACACCAGUGGCGAAGGCGGCUUACUGGACGAUAACUGACGUUGAGGCUCGAAAGCGUGGGGAGCAAACAGGAUUAGAUACCCUGGUAGUCCACGCCGUAUACGAUGAAUGCUAGGUGUUGGGGGGCAAAGCCCUUCGGUGCCGCCGCAAGCGCAGUAAGCAUUCCACCUGGGGAGUACGUUCGCAAGAAUGAAACUCAAAGGAAUUGACGGGGACCCCGCACAGCGGGUGGAGCAUGUGGUUUUAUUUCCAAGCAACCCGAAAAACCUUACCAAGUCUUGACAUCCCCCUGACGGGCCGGUAACGCGGCCUUUCCUUCGGGACAGGGGAGACAGGUGGUGCAUGGUUGUCGUCAGCUCGUGUCGUGAGAUGUUGGGUUAAGUCCCGCAACGAGCGCAACCCUUAUCCUUAGUAGCCAGCACGUGAAGGUGGGCACUCUAGGGAGACUGCCAGGGAUAACCUGGAGGAAGGUGGGGAUGACGUCAAAUCAUCAUGCCCCUUAUGAUUCGGGCUACACACGUGCUACAAUGGCGUAAACAAAGGGAAGCGAGACAGUGAUGUGGAGCAAAUCCCAAAAAUAACGUCCCAGUUCGGACUGUAGUCUGCAACCCGACUACACGAAGCUGGAAUCGCUAGUAAUCGCGAAUCAGAAUGUCGCGGUGAAUACGUUCCCGGGUCUUGUACACACCGCCCGUCACACCAUGGGAGUCAGCAACGCCCGAAGUCAGUGACCCAACCGAAAGGAGGGAGCUGCCGAAGGCGGGGCAGG